rnacentral:rRNA from 1 species
AGUGAACGCUGGCGGUAGGCCUAACACAUGCAAGUCGAACGGCAGCACAGGAGAGCUUGCUCUCUGGGUGGCGAGUGGCGGACGGGUGAGGAAUACAUCGGAAUCUACUCUGUCGUGGGGGAUAACGUAGGGAAACUUACGCUAAUACCGCAUACGACCUACGGGUGAAAGCAGGGGACCUUCGGGCCUUGCGCGAUUGAAUGAGCCGAUGUCGGAUUAGCUAGUUGGCGGGGUAAAGGCCCACCAAGGCGACGAUCCGUAGCUGGUCUGAGAGGAUGAUCAGCCACGCUGGAACUGAGACACGGUCCAGACUCCUACGGGAGGCAGCAGUGGGGAAUAUUGGACAAUGGGCGCAAGCCUGAUCCAGCCAUACCGCGUGGGUGAAGAAGGCCUUCGGGUUGUAAAGCCCUUUUGUUGGGAAAGAAAUCCAGCUGGCUAAUACCCGGUUGGGAUGACGGUACCCAAAGAAUAAGCACCGGCUAACUUCGUGCCAGCCGCCGCGGUAAUAC